rnacentral:rRNA from 1 species
UGAGUGGUAGGGGAGCGUUCUGUAAGCCGUUGAAGGUGUGUUGUAAAGCAUGCUGGAGGUAUCAGAAGUGCGAAUGCUGACAUGAGUAACGAUAAGGGGAGUGAAAAACUCCCCCGCCGAAAGACCAAGGUUUCCUGUCCCAUGUUAAUCAGGGCAGGGUAAGUCGGCCCCUAAGGCGAGGCGGAAACGCGUAGUCGAUGGGAAACAGAUUAAUAUUUCUGUACUUCUAUAUAUUGCGAAGGAGGGACGGAGUAGGCUAGGUGAGCACGGCGUUGGUAGUCCGUGUGAAAGUAUGUAGGCGGUUGUCUUAGGUAAAUCCGGGACUUCAUUAACGCUGAGAUACGAGACGAGACUCUACGGAGUUGAAGUCAUUGAUGCCAUGCUUCCAGGAAAAGCUUCUAAGCUUCAGAUAUAUAGGAACCGUACCCCAAACCGACACAGGUGGUUAGGUAGAGAAUACUAAGGCGCUUGAGAGAACUCGGGUGAAGGAACUAGGCAAAAUAGUACCGUAACUUCGGGAGAAGGUACGCUCUCUAAUGUGAAGCCCUUGCGGCGUAAGCAUCGGAGAGUCGAAGUAACCAGGUGGCUGGAACUGUUUAUUAAAAACACAGCACUGUGCAAAAUCGAAAGAUGACGUAUACGGUGUGACGCCUGCCCGGUGCCGGAAGGUUAAUUGAUUGGGUUAGUCCUUGGACGAAGCUCAUGAUCGAAGCCCCGGUAAACGGCGGCCGUAACUAUAACGGUCCUAAGGUAGCGAAAUUCCUUGUCGGGUAAGUUCCGACCUGCACGAAUGGCGUAAUCAUGGCCACACUGUCUCCACCCGAGACUCAGUGAAAUUGAAAUUGCGGUUAAGAUGCCGUAUACCCGCGGCUAGACGGAAAGACCCCGUGAACCUUUACUAUAGCUUGACAGUGAACAUUGCUCCUACAUGUGUAGGAUAGGUGGGAGGCUUUGAAACUUUGUCGCCAGAUGAAGUGGAGCCAACCUUGAAAUACCACCCUUGUAUGCGUGAUGUUCUAACCUAGGGCCCUUAUCGGGCUUGGGGACACUGUCUGGUGGGUAGUUUGACUGGGGCGGUCUCCUCCCAAAGAGUAACGGAGGAGCACGAAGGUUGGCUAAGUACGGUCGGACAUCGUACGGUUAGUGCAAUGGCAUAAGCCAGCUUAACUGCGAGACAGACACGUCGAGCAGGUACGAAAGUAGGUCAUAGUGAUCCGGUGGUUCUGUAUGGAAGGGCCAUCGCUCAACGGAUAAAAGGUACUCCGGGGAUAACAGGCUGAUACCGCCCAAGAGUUCAUAUCGACGGCGGUGUUUGGCACCUCGAUGUCGGCUCAUCACAUCCUGGGGCUGAAGUCGGUCCCAAGGGUAUGGCUGUUCGCCAUUUAAAGUGGUACGCGAGCUGGGUUUAGAACGUCGUGAGACAGUUCGGUCCCUAUCUGCCGUGGGCGUUUGAGAAUUGAAGAGGGCUGCUCCUAGUACGAGAGGACCGGAGUGGACGAACCGCUGGUGUUCGGGUUGUUAUGCCAAUAGCAUUGCCCGGUAGCUACGUUCGGAACUGAUAACCGCUGAAAGCAUCUAAGCGGGAAGCAGGCUUUGAGAUGAGUUCUCACUGGAGCUUUAAGCUCCCUAAAGGGUCGUUGGAGACUACAACGUUGAUAGGUUGGGUGUGGAAGUGCUGCGAGGCAUUGAGCUAACCAAUACUAAUUACCCGUGAGGCUUAACCAU